rnacentral:misc_RNA from 1 species
AACUUUUGACAAUGGAUCUCUUGGUUCUGGCAUCGAUGAAGAACGCAGCGAGAUGCGAUAAGUAAUGUGAAUUGCAGAAUUCAGUGAAUCAUCGAAUCUGUGAACGCACAUUGCGCCCGCUAGUAUUCUGGCGGGCAUGCCUGUUCGAGCGUCAUUUCAACCAUCAAGCCCUAGGCUUGUGUUUGGGCCCUGCGGCCGUCCGCAGCCCCCUAAAAACAGUGGCGGGCUCGCUAUAUACCGAGUGCAGUAGUUUACUCUUCGCUCAGGACAUGUAGCGGGUUCUUGCCUUAAAACCCCCCAUUUUUAAGGUUGACCUCGGAUCAGGUAGGAAUACCCGCUGAACUUAAGCAUAUCAAUAAGCGGAGGCU